rnacentral:rRNA from 1 species
GUGGGGAAUAUUGGACAAUGGGCGAAAGCCUGAUCCAGCCAUGCCGCGUGUGUGAAGAAGGUCUUCGGAUUGUAAAGCACUUUAAGUUGGGAGGAAGGGUAGUAACCUAAUACGUUGCUACUUUGACGUUACCGACAGAAUAAGCACCGGCUAACUUCGUGCCAGCAGCCGCGGUAAUACGAAGGGUGCAAGCGUUAAUCGGAAUUACUGGGCGUAAAGCGCGCGGAGGUGGUUCAGUAAGUUGGAAGUGAAAUCCCCGGGCUCAACCUGGGAACUGCUUUCAAAACUGCUGAGCUAGAGUACGGUAGAGGGUGGUGGAAUUUCCUGUGUAGCGGUGAAAUGCGUAGAUAUAGGAAGGAACACCAGUGGCGAAGGCGACCACCUGGACUGAUACUGACACUGAGGUGCGAAAGCGUGGGGAGCAAACAGGAUUAGAAACCCGGGUAGUCC